rnacentral:rRNA from 1 species
GGACUACCGGGGUAUCUAAUCCCGUUUGCUCCCCUGGCUUUCGCGCCUCAGCGUCAGGAGAGGUCCAGUGAUGCGCUUUCGCCACCGGCGUUCCUUCCGAUAUCAACGCAUUUCACCGCUCCACCGGAAGUUCCCAUCACCCCUACCUCGCUCGAGUUCAGCAGUUUCCAAGGCACUUCUCCAGUUAAGCUGGAGUAUUUCACCCCGGACUUGCCAAACCGCCUACGCGCCCUUUAAGCCCAGUGAUUCCGAACAACGUUCGCACGGUUCGUCUUACCGCGGCUGCUGGCAC